rnacentral:rRNA from 1 species
GAUCGGAGUGCUUGCACUCUGUGAAACAAGAUACAGGCUAGCGGCGGACGGGUGAGUAACACGUGGGUAACCUGCCCAAGAGAUCGGGAUAACACCUGGAAACAGAUGCUAAUACCGGAUAACAACAGAUGAUGCCUAUCAACUGUUUAAAAGAUGGUUCUGCUAUCACUCUUGGAUGGACCUGCGGUGCAUUAGCUAGUUGGUAGGGUAACGGCCUACCAAGGCGAUGAUGCAUAGCCGAGUUGAGAGACUGAUCGGCCACAUUGGGACUGAGACACGGCCCAAACUCCUACGGGAGGCAGCAGUAGGGAAUCUUCCACAAUGGACGCAAGUCUGAUGGAGCAACGCCGCGUGAGUGAAGAAGGGUUUCGGCUCGUAAAGCUCUGUUGUUGGUGAAGAAGGACAGGGGUAGUAACUGACCUUUGUUUGACGGUAAUCAAUUAGUAAGUCACGGCUAACUACGUGCCAGCAGCCGCGGUAAUACGUAGGUGGCAAGCGUUGUCCGGAUUUAUUGGGCGUAAAGCGAGUGCAGGCGGCUCGAUAAGUCUGAUGUGAAAGCCUUCGGCUCAACCGGAGAAUUGCAUCAGAAACUGUCGAGCUUGAGUACAGAAGAGGAGAGUGGAACNNNNUGUGUAGCGGUGAAAUGCGUAGAUAUAUGGAAGAACACCGGUGGCGAAGGCGGCUCUCUGGUCUGUUACUGACGC